AAGUAGUAUACUACCAAAUAGUUACAUCUAUUCGGUGGCAAUUAAGUUAUAAAAUUCUGUCUAUUAUUAAUUUUAAUAAUAUAAAGUGUACCCUUUAACUCUCAGCCAUUAUUUACAAUUUAAUUGUUAAUUAUGCCUAAAAAAAUGAAUUGACAACUUUGGUAUUAUUGGUAUAAACAGCUUAAUUCCUUUAUGUAAAGCCACCUUAACAUGUUUUUGCAUAAUUCUGACUCACGUUGGUUGCUAUCGGGCUUAAGCCAUAAAAAUCGAAGAAAAAAAGAAGAAGACGCCCACUUUCACUUGUCAUUUCAAUGUCACUUUCCGGCCCACAAGCAUAAACGCCACCGGCAACGGAAGUUCCCAAAAUCCAAGCAAAUGUUGGAAGAUAUUUUUAAGUCUCCGCAUCUUUCUUACUUUCCUAUAUGAAAAUAAAAUUGGACUACACCAACAAAGGUUAUGUGUUUUGCACCAGAUUGAAAGCAUCAUAGCGAAAAACGGACCUGUCAUAUCUUUAAAUUUUCAAAAGAGCCCCUGGAAAAAGAAAAAUGAAUAUCUUUGCCAAGGAAUAGGUACUAAGGUAUUUUUACUAAAUCUUUCAUUUUUUUUAAUACCUAAAUGAGGUAAUUUAUAAAUUUUGUUCCUUGUAGGCAAAUGGAUAAAAAACCUUCAGUCCAUGCAUUGGUAUGUAAUUGUUGACAAAAAUACAAUGAAUGGCCUCACUACUUUUCCACAUGCAAAGAGGUUAACCAAGGAGAAAUUAAAGAAAUUGUCAAAAACCUAGGUAAAUACAGAAUUGCUUAGUACAAACAUAUCUAUACCCAGUACAAGUUCAUCCACUUCUUUGAAGCAUGGUACUUCAAACAGAAACACUGUCAACAAUUUUGUAGAAGGUGAGCCGGUGUCAAAUUCCAGUAAGGGACAUGAUUUCAAUUUUUCACCAACAGCAGAGCUAAAAUUCAUUUUGCCGCAAUAAACUGGAGGAUGUGAAAGAAAAAAGUGCAGAAGUUAAAAUUAAGUUUUUCAUAUGAGCACAUAAAAAAUAAUCAUGACAAAGUUCAGUUGUAUACAGGUUUGACAUGUAAUAAAUAUUUUUGUAAUCUUAUUAAGUUAAUUAGUUUUAUAUAUUAUUUAAAUAAUAAUUGUAUACUUCACAUAGAAUAUGCAGAAAUUAUAUGUACAUAUAUAAAUUUUUUUAUUAAGAUAAGGACAACAUGUAUUAAAGCAUAACACAUAAUAUAAACACACACGUAAUAUCUUCAUUAAAAAUUAUGAUUGUAUGUUAUGUAGCAUUAGAGCCUAAAAAC